GAUUAAGUUAUUAAGGGCGCACGGUGGAUGCCUUGGCACUAGAAGCCGAUGAAGGACGUUACUAACGACGAUAUGCUUUGGGGAGCUGUAAGUAAGCUUUGAUCCAGAGAUUUCCGAAUGGGGAAACCCAGCAUGAGUUAUGUCAUGUUAUCGAU
rnacentral:rRNA from 1 species